rnacentral:rRNA from 1 species
UACGUAGGUGGCAAGCGUUGUCCGGAAUUAUUGGGCGUAAAGCGCGCGCAGGUGGUUUCUUAAGUCUGAUGUGAAAGCCCACGGCUCAACCGUGGAGGGUCAUUGGAAACUGGGGAACUUGAGUGCAGGAGAGAAGAGUGGAAUUCCACGUGUAGCGGUGAAAUGCGUAGAGAUGUGGAGGAACACCAGUGGCGAAGGCGACUCUUUGGCCUGUAACUGACACUGAGGCGCGAAAGCCAGGGGAGCGAACAGG